GAGCAAGUGAGCUUUGUGCUCUUUCUAGUCAGAGCAAGUGUGGCCUUGGUGGACUGUAGGGAACAGUGUCUCUCAGGUAAAAAUAAGUUGCUAAGAUUCACACCAGAAUGAUGCAAAUCUUUCAUUUGCAAACAGAUCCUGAAAUGGGAGCCAUGUGGAAAGAGGACUGACUUGGAAAUCAGAUUCAGGGUCCUGCCUAGCUUUCUUCCAGAUGAUGCCACCAAUCAGCCAUCUGGUCUCAGGGGAAUACAUGGCUUCCUCCUGACUUCUUUGCAUUUUCCCAGUACCUUUGAUUUUGGAAAUACUAUGAGAAUGAUGGCUACAUUUUUUCAGUGUUGGAAAUUCCUGAAACAGAACAGGGUUUCUCAACAUUUCCUGAAAUUUCAAAAACUCAGAAAAAGAUUUCAAAAAAAAAAAAAAAAAAGAAUAUUCAACUAAAUAUUCAUUUGUUAGCCCAGCACUGGAAGGGAACAGCCCUAAAGAAUAACUGGUGAGUAAAUCAACACCAAUACCACUAUCAUUCAUCUCCUUCAUACCAGCCUAACCCAAAAGAAUUUCUUGGCACCCACAGGAAGGUUAAUUGAAAAGAUAAAUCUACUCUGGGAAGCAUUUGUAUUUUAAGGACAGAUGGAAUUGGGGAAGUGCCAUGCUGACAUCUAUCAUUCUACAAAUCAUAAUUAUUGUCAGUGACCCGAAACCUGGCGCAUGUUAUGAUGGUUAAAUAAUGUCCAUAGUUUUGCUCUCCAGGAAUGCUUUUGUCCCCGACCUGAUCAUUAUCAUGCUUCUUGGGUCUUUUAGGCCUAAAAUGUGUAAGCUGCUUAUAUUUAUCUGGGUAGCUGGUUAAUUUUGGUGGCAGCCACCUUGCAGGUAUGAUUUUUCUUCCACUGACAGAAAACAAAGCCUGGAAUCCUAUCUUUUUUCCCUCUAAAGCAUAGUUUUAUUUUUUGAUUGGAGUAGAAUUGCAUUAUAAUGUUGUUUCUGCUGUACAAUGAAGUGAAUCAGCAUGUGUAUACAUGUAUCACCCCCCUCUUGGAACUCCCUCCCACCCAC
ensembl:lncRNA